rnacentral:rRNA from 1 species
AGCGAACGCUAGCGGCGGGCUUAACACAUGCAAGUCGUGCGCUCUUCGGAGAGCGGCGAACGGGUGAGUAACACGUGGAUUACCUACCUUGAGGCGGGGGAUAACCCGGGGAAACCCGGGCUAAUACCGCGUAUGGCCUACGGGUCAAAGACUUCGGUCGCCUUGAGAUGGGUCCGCGGCCCAUUAUUUAAUCCUGGUUGGUGGGGUAAUGGCCUACCAAGGGUACGAUGGGUAGCUGGUCUGAGAGGACGAUCAGCCACACUGGGACUGAGACACGGCCCAGACUCCUACGGGAGGCAGCAGUGGGGAAUAUUGCGCAAUGGGCGAAAGCCUGACGCAGCCACGCCGCGUGAGUGAUGAAGGCCUUCGGGUUGUAAAGCUCUGUCGGGAGGGAAGAAGAUCUGACGGUACCUCCCAAGAAAGCACCGGCUAACUCCG